rnacentral:rRNA from 1 species
AACGAACGCUGGCGGCAUGCCUAACACAUGCAAGUCGAACGAGAUCUUCGGAUCUAGUGGCGCACGGGUGCGUAACGCGUGGGAAUCUGCCCUUCGGUUGGGAAUAACUGGGAGAAAUUUCAGCUAAUACCUUAUACUGUCUUCGGACCAAAGAUUUAUCGCCGAGGGAUGAGCCCGCGUAGGAUUAGCUAGUUGGUGGGGUAAUGGCCUACCAAGGCGACGAUCCUUAGCUGGUCUGAGAGGAUGGUCAGCCACACUGGGACUGAGACACGGCCCAGACUCCUACGGGAGGCAGCAGUGGGGAAUAUUGGACAAUGGGCGAAAGCCUGAUCCAGCAAUGCCGCGUGAGUGAUGAAGGCCUUAGGGUUGUAAAGCUCUUUUACCAGGGAUGAUAAUGACAGUACCUGGAGAAUAAGCUCCGGCUAACUCCGCGCCAGCCGCCGCGGUAA